AGUGAACGCUGGCGGUAGGCCUAACACAUGCAAGUCGAACGGCAGCACAGUAAGAUCUUGCUCUUACGGGUGGCGAGUGGCGGACGGGUGAGGAAUACAUCGGAAUCUACUUUUUCGUGGGGGAUAACGUAGGGAAACUUACGCUAAUACCGCAUACGACCUACGGGUGAAAGCAGUGGAUCUUCGGACCUUGCGCGAUUGAAUGAGCCGAUGUCGGAUUAGCUAGUUGGCGGGGUAAAGGCCCACCAAGGCGACGAUCCGUAGCUGGUCUGAGAGGAUGAUCAGCCACACUGGAACUGAGACACGGUCCAGACUCCUACGGGAGGCAGCAGUGGGGAAUAUUGGACAAUGGGCGCAAGCCUGAUCCAGCCAUACCGCGUGGGUGAAGAAGGCCUUCGGGUUGUAAAGCCCUUUUGUUGGGAAAGAAAAGCAGCAGGUUAAUACCCCGCUGUUCUGACGGUACCCAAAGAAUAAGCACCGGCUAACUUCGUG
rnacentral:rRNA from 1 species